rnacentral:tmRNA from 1 species
GGGGAUGAUUGGCCUCGACGAGGUACAACCUUUCCGAUGCAAACCGAGGGUGUACACAGCCUCGCAAAUCACGUGUACAAAUUCCUAUUUGCAAACAGCAACAAGGUAGCGUCUCCGUACUUUAACGGUUUCGCUCUCGCUCACGCGUAAUCAAUCGCAGAGCCGUCCUCCUCCAUCUCGCUCGAAGGUGGAGUAAAGGGUGUAAUAAAUCGAGAUUACUCUAAGAAACACUCCGAUUCCUAGAGGAAAAUAAGGAGCCCGACGUGGUGCGGUUUUGUCCGCUUAGAUUCGCACCAUGUUUAAACAAAUAGGACUUGCGAAAUUGGAUGCAGUUCGCGAAGCAAGCCUGACUUGCGACCAAGCUGUAUAUAGACAUACAGCGCGAAAGCAAGUAAGGCGAAGCCCGUCCGAACGGAUGUUCAUCCGGGCGGGCGACAAAGAAAUGCGCCAAUUUCGCAAGUCCUAUAAGAAAGCGGUCUAUGUUUGUAGAUAUCGGCAAGCAACUAUCUCGCACGGCGGUUCGAUUCCGCCCAUCUCCACCA